ensembl:lncRNA
UGGGGGGCAGAGGUUUGGGAUUUGCAGGGCUGAUGUGUCUCUCUGCCUCUCUGAUUUCAGGAAGUGCCCUUCACCUUUCAAAAGGAAGAAAGCAAAGCAAGGAGCUAAUGGGAGGCAGGAGGCGCAGCAGCAGCAGCCUGGCAGCAAGGCUGUCCCAUCAGCAGUGCCCACGUAUGAGGAUGUCCCAGAUGUCCCUGUGUAUGCCACGGUGAGCAGGAGGGGAGUCCAGCAGGAGGAGAGCAUCCACUACGCCGACAUCCAGGUGUUGUGCAGGGCCCAGCAGCGCUCAGCCGCCCCGGUGAGGAGCCUGCAGCAGCACCAGCCCACCGAGUACGCCACCCUCAACUUCCCCAGGGCCAGGCUCAAGUACGACAGCAAAAACGGGACCUUGGUCUGAGAGAAACCAGGGCCUCGUGCUGCUGCUCUGGCAGGGAAAGGAGCUCGAACCAUGGACUCCUCCUUCAGGAGGAAAAGGAGCUCACCCCAUGGCCUUGUCCUGCUCCUCUGGAAGGAAAAGCUCAGCCCAUGGCCUUGUCCUGAUCCUCCAGCAGGGAAAGGAGCUCAGCCCAUGGACUCCUCCUUCAGGAGGAAAAGGAGCUCAGCCCAUGGAUUCAUCCUCCAGCAGGGAAAGGAGCUCAGCCCAUGGACUCCUCCUUCAGGAGGAAAAGGAGCUCACCCCAUUGACUCAUCCUCCAGCAGGGAAAGGAGCUCAGCCCGUGGCCUUGUCUUCCAUCAGGAAAAGGAGCUCAUCCCAUGGCUUCAUCCCUCAACAGGAAAAGGAGCUCACCCCAUGGACUCCUCCUUCAGGAAAGGGAGCUCAUCCCAUGGCUUAAUUGUCCAUCGGGAAAAGGAGCUCACCCCAUGGCCUCCUCCUCCUUCAGCAGGAAAGGGAGCUCAGCCCAUGGCCUUGUCCUGCUCCUCCAUCAGGGAAAGGAGCUCACCCCAUGGCCUUGUCCUUCAGCAGGGAAAGGAGCUCAGCCCAUGGUUUCAUCCUCCUCUUCCAUCAAAAAAAGGAGCUCACCCCAUGGCCUUGUCUUCCAUCAAAAAAAGGAGCUCACCCCAUGGCCUCAUCCUGCUCCUCCAUCAGGGAAAGGAGCUCACCCCAUGGACUCAUCCUACAGCAGGGAAAGGAGCUCACCCCAUGGCCUUGUCUUCCAUCAGGAAAAGGAGCUCAGCCCGUGGCCUUGUCCUGCCCCUCCUGAAUUCAGCACUAAAGGGAGGUUCUGCUGCUGCCUUUGGGAAUUCAGAAAUUCAGGACUAAAGUGAGGUUUUGGUGCUCCCUUUGGGGAGUCAGGAAUUCAGCACUAAAAGCACUAAAGGGAGGUUUUGGUGCUGCCCUUGGGAAUUUGGGAAUUCAGGAAUUCAGCACUAAAGGGAGGUUCUGGUGAGGGUUUUGUGUCAGUGUUAAAGCUCUGAGCCUGCAGAGUGACUCGUGGCUGGUGCUGUGAGGAGAUCAGACCUUCAGCAGGAUCUGCUGCUCCUGCAGGUGCAGCCAGGCCCUGGUGCAUCCCCUUGCCCCAAAAUCAGUGCUGUGCAGCCAUGCACGGUACCUGGCAGCCAGAAAUGCACAAUUAGGAGGGCACAGAAGGAUUUCUGUCACUGCUGGGCUGCUCAGAGGUGCAUCCUCUGUGCAAACAAGUGAGGAGUGAGCUCCUGGCUCGGGCUGGAAGUGAAACAAGGGAAAAUUGGCGGUUUAGCUGCAGAUCAGUGCCUAUUUUUAGGGCAGUUCUCUGAGUCCAGCAGCUGCCUGGGGAACUGGGAAUGAACCCUGGGCAGCCUCAGAGAAGACUUUGGACUUUGCCUCCACUUUUCCCUCAUUUUGUGCUGUCAGCCCUUGUUGUAAACCCCAGUGACACCGAGCACACACCCCGUGGGGCUGCCAGCUCCACCUCUGUUUGUGGGUUUGCAAGAGUGUCAAUAAUUCAGCGUAGCAAUGGUCCAAACUGGGCAGCACUGGCACCAGGGCUCCCCAAACCCCUUCUGCAGGCACUAAAGCAAGGCUGGCACAUUCUGCUCCUCAGUCAGGGCCUGCAGAGCAGAUUCUGGGGCAGCCCCAGUCACUGGCAGCGUUUAGAGAUGGAGAUUUUAUUAUUAACACAUAGAACUUUGCAGGGAUGGUUCCUUUUAUAAACACAAACAACUCUGCAGGGAUGGUUCCUUUUAUAAACACACACAAGUUUUCAUUUUACAACUCAGCUGGGUGGGAAAAGCAUGAAGGAGUUCCUGCUCAUGAUGAAAAAUAAAGGUGCUCCAGGCUGUGUUUGCCGAGGUGGG